rnacentral:lncRNA from 1 species
UUUCUGUCUCUUCCACCAGGGGCUUCAGACUACAUGAGCUUGUUAUUUCAGCAGUCCCCUUUCUGGACUCUGAAGCUCGCAGCCCAACAUCAAGGCUUUGCAUAUUGGAUCUGAAGUUGGAUAAAACAAGAUCACAAUGGGAACGGGGCUCUGAGAGAGGUCCUGAGUGAGAGAGUCAGUACAACCAUCAGACCAAAUUUACACCAAACAAUGGACAUUUAAGAUCUAAGUGGCAUUGGCAAUGUAUCUCUGCAUGUUGGCUGUUACCUCCAUAAGGUGAAAAAAAUUGAAAUGAACCAAGAAUGAGGAUUCUACUUGUAAAAAACUGAAAAUAUGAAUAAAUUUAGCAAGAUUAUUGUUAAGUUGUGACUU